rnacentral:rRNA from 1 species
UACGGAGGGAGCAAGCGUUACUCGGAAUUAUUGGGCGUAAAGCGCGUGUAGGCAGCUUAGCAAGUCGGAUGUGAAAGCCCUGGGCUCAACCUAGGAAGUGCAUUCGAAACUGCUGAGCUAGAGUUCUGGAGAGGAAGGCGGAAUUCUCGGUGUAGAGGUGAAAUUCGUAGAUAUCGGGAGGAACACCGGUGGCGAAGGCGGCCUUCUGGACAGCAACUGACGCUCAGGCGCGAAAGCUAGGGGAGCGAACAGG